UAACAUGUGGUCUGAAAAUCGCU
rnacentral:miRNA from 1 species